CACAGCCCCUCUGGUCCACACCCGCAGGGGCUCUCCAUCUCUGUGUGUGUGUGUGUCUCCGUUCACAGCAGCAACACAAACAACAGCCCCUGGCAAUGACCUCCACAACUUGGCUCACUGAAGACCUGCCUGACAAGUGCAGCAGCCAAUGGGGGCACCAUGAGCUGAGAAAAACUGCUGGCAUCCACGCACUUGACCAGAGGGUGCUUGCGAGAGGUGGGUGCCAGCUCGUUAUAGUGGUACCAGAAGUGGGGAUCAUUACAGAGACAUUCAAGAAAGUUUUUUAAAAGGCACAGAGAGAAGAGAAAAGCAUUUCACACCACAGAUUGUCACCAACCAAACUGCAGAACCCCCUGCUCUGGAGUCUUAUAGCAAACCACCCAUCACUGGUGAGCCAAUCAGAAGGGAUUCUUUAACCACGUGAUUUUUUUUGUGGACUCACACGUCACUGAACAGUAAAUUGCAUCACAGUUUCCUAAACCAAUCAGAAGGAUUUUCUAACCCCAUGGAUUUUGACGGAAUUAUUCAGCAGAGCAUAUUAAAUUGUAAAUUAAAGAUAAAAUACCAAUUCCAAUGAGUAUGUAUGUAGGUUUCUUUAUCAAUUUUUUUACAAUACCUAUGUAAAUUCAGCAGUUAACCUUAUUUGUUUCUUAAUUUGGACCGGGAAUAAAAUGUCCUCUUUCUCCAUAAUUCUUUUAGCAUUUGUCUUUAAAAACUGGUAGGCU